AUGAAUUACAUCAUCGGCGCCUUCAAGCCGCCCUGCGACAUCUUCGUGACCUUUUCCGACGAGAGGAGCCGGAAGCAGGUUGCAGUCAAGAAGGAUAAUGGGAAGACAACCAUGGUGCCGGCGUUCCAGAGCCUGGAGACCAUAGCCGGAGAGGUAUCAAUAGCGCCUGUUCCUGGUAAAAGGAUUGAGCACAUGGGUGUUAAGAUUGAGCUGCUUGGACAGAUAGAGUUGUAUUUCGACAGAGGCAACUUCUAUGACUUCACUUCACUGGUGCGUGAGUUAGAUGUUCCUGGUGAAAUAUAUGAAAGAAAGACAUAUCCAUUUGAGUUCUCUACUGUUGAAAUGCCAUAUGAGUCAUACAAUGGAACAAAUGUCAGACUGAGGUACAUCCUGAAAGUGACGAUUGGUAGAAACUAUGUCGGUAAUAUUGUGGAAUCUCGGGAUUUCUGUAUGGAAGUUGGAAUUGAAGAUUGCCUGCAUAUUGAGUUUGAGUACAGCAAAAGCAAGUACCAUCUCAAGGAUGUCAUUGUAGGAAAGAUCUAUUUUCUUCUAGUCAGAAUAAAGAUAAAAAACAUGGAGCUUGAAAUUCGCCGCCGGGAAUCAACAGGAUCAGGUCCUAACACAUAUGUUGAGACUGAGACACUUGCUAAAUUUGAGCUGAUGGAUGGUGCCCCAGUCAGAGGAGAAUCUAUUCCAGUAAGGCUAUUCUUGACUCCAUACGAGCUAACCCCGACUUACCGCAACAUAAACAACAAGUUCAGUGUCAAGUACUACCUCAACCUGGUCCUUGUGGACGAGGAAGACCGGAGAUACUUCAAGCAGCAAGAGAUAAACAUGUUCCGCCUUGACGAAACUCCACAGCCUUCAUAG
rnacentral:rRNA from 1 species